rnacentral:rRNA from 1 species
AAUUAGCGCUGGCAGAGUGCAUAACACAUGCAAGUCGAGCGAGACCCGCAAGGGUCUAGCGGCAGACGAGUGAGCAACACGUAAAGAAUCUACCCUUGAAUGGCGAAUAACCAAUCGAAAGGCUGGCUAAUACGCCGUACUCUCCCUUGAAGGCAUCUUCGAGGGAGGAGAGAUCCGCAAGGAUCGUUCUUGGAGGACUUUGCGGCCCAUCAGCAGUUGGCGGUGUAAUAGACCACCAAGGCUACGACGGGUACCCGGCCUGAAAGGGCGGACGGGCACGAUGGCACUGAGACACGGGCCAUACUCCUACGGGAGGCAGCAGUGGGGAAUUUUGGACAAUGGGCGAAAGCCUGAUCCAGCAACUCUGCGUGAGGGACGAAGGUCUUCGGAUCGUAAACCUCUUUUACAUGGGAAGAAUGGCAGCAAUGCCUCGACGGUACCAUGUGAAUAAGCCACGGCUAACUAUGUGCCAGCAGCCG